AAGAUGUGGAAAGGAGAAAAUUAGAGGAUUCGACAUCCACUCGUGGCAAGGAGAACCAAGCGAAGAUUGAAUGCGAAUAGGGUUUAGCCACUUAUAGGGCGAACCAUCCUGCCCGUGAAUCCCCGAGGCCUCAUCUCUCGGCCUCCAAAAACGGAUCUGCUGUCACGGUCGAGCCUGCUCGAUCUCCGGAUCUGAGGCUCGGGCUCGAUCCAGAACUCGGAUCUCGGCUUGUCGGCACCUCGUCCUCCAUCAUUAGCUUGUCAACAGCGUGAGGAGAAGUGGGGAGGGGCCUCGCGACUGUCGGAUCGUGUCUGCAAGAUAAAGCACAUCGUCCGUCCGGUGUAGGGACGGUAAGGGGCAUCGUACGCGAGAACAGUACUCUUACCCCUUAUCAAACGAGUAAAUUCGACUGAGUAAUUUUCUUGCGUAUUGAUGGUGAAAGUCAAUCUUUUCCAUAAAAGCGCAAGCGGGACAUGCUAGACUCGCUGAGAAAUUACACUAAAGUUCACUUACUAAGCAUCGUCGCAUCACUUAAUAGUAGAAAAACUUCAGCCAAAAUUUUCAAUGCAUGUACCAUUGCUCGAUCUGAAUUACAAAUUUACGUUUGUGGACGCAUGGACUUACUUGGUUUCAAUGUAAAAAAGGACAUUUACCAUUGUUGACACUACUUCUCACAUGGCAUCUUUUCAGAACGCUAUUUCUGAUUCAAAAUUCAGGACUUCCUCUUUUUUACUGGAGAAAUUGUGUGCCUGGGAAAAAGUCUCGAAAGAGCCCCUUCAACGUGACCCGGUGAAUCUUCAUUCUUCAUCACCAUCUCAUUUUCCAGUGAAAAUUCCAAAAAUAAAAAAUAAAAAUAAAUGAAAAGAUAAGCCGAAUGGCUUUCAUCAAUGGUCGUCAGAUGAAACCCGAAUUUCGAGCCUGAGAAAGACGCCCGUGAUGAAGAAGAGCAAAACGCUAAAUCGACGAGACAGGCCAUUGUAAGUCUCUUCGAAAGGACUGUGCAAUGUCAGGACCACUUGAGCAAGUUCAUUCGGACCGCACACAUUCAAACCACGACGUAAUUGACAAAUCCAAUGAGAAAUGAGGGCGUGCUUGCCCAGUUUCGGAUGAAGGGCAAUGCCAGAAAGCUCACGGGCCAUUCACGAGAUAAGAUCUCGAGUAUGGGCCUCCAUCCUUUAGCUGUCUCGUGAGCUAAGCAAGGAAAGCUCGGCGAGUUGCCUCAGUCAAAGAGAGGAAGAAAUUUAGGGUUUUUCUUGAUCGGGGCCAUCCACGAGAUAAGAUUUCAAGCAUGGGCUUCAUCCUUUAGAUGUCUCGUUGUGAGCUGAGCAAGGUACAGAAGAUCCUCCUUCACAGGUGCCAUCUUUUUCCUCUACUGUGCAGCAGUACAAUUGUUGCCGCCAUUGUCGCCCAUGCAUCAAGAGCCCUUUCACCUUGUUUGCUUUGGGCGGGGGGAAGAAAUUUCGAGUUUUUUUAUUGACCGGGCAACACCCGAACUGAACCAGGAAAAAAGGAUUUGCAUUCGCUCGCGAUACCGCUCAGGAUGCCAUACCAAAUAGAUGAACAAGGUUCUCUUUGUUUGCGUCGUCGGACGGGGGAUUAAUAAGUAAAUAUUAUUUUAUUGGGCUUGUA